AUGAACGCUGGCGGCGUGCCUAAUCCAUGCAAGUCGAGCGAACGGACGAGAAGCUUGCUUCUCUGAUGUUAGCGGCGGACGGGUGAGUAACACGUGGAUAACCUACCUAUAAGACUGGGAUAACUUCGGGAAACCGGAGCUAAUACCGGAUGAUAUUUUGAACCGCAUGGUUCAAAAGUGAAAGGCGGUCUUGCUGUCACUUAUAGAUGGAUCCGCGCUGCAUUAGCUAGUUGGUAAGGUAACGGCUUACCAAGGCAACGAUGCAUAGCCGACCUGAGAGGGUGAUCGGCCACACUGGAACUGAGACACGGUCCAGACUCCUACGGGAGGCAGCAGUAGGGAAUCUUCCGCAAUGGGCGAAAGCCUGACGGAGCAACGCCGCGUGAGUGAUGAAGGUCUUCGGAUCGUAAAACUCUGUUAUUAGGGAAGAACAUAUGUGUAAGUAACUGUGCACAUCUUGACGGUACCUAAUCAGAAAGCCACGGCUAACUACGUG
rnacentral:rRNA from 1 species